AUUGAACGCUGGCGGCAGGCCUAACACAUGCAAGUCGAGCGGAUGAAGGGAGCUUGCUCCUGGAUUCAGCGGCGGACGGGUGAGUAAUGCCUAGGAAUCUGCCUGGUAGUGGGGGAUAACGUCCGGAAACGGGCGCUAAUACCGCAUACGUCCUGAGGGAGCAAGUGGGGGAUCUUCGGACCUCACGCUAUCAGAUGAGCCUAGGUCGGAUUAGCUAGUUGGUGGGGUAAAGGCCUACCAAGGCGACGAUCCGUAACUGGUCUGAGGGGAUGAUCAGUCACACUGAAACUGAGACACGGUCCAGACUCCUACGGGAGGCAGAAGUGGGGAAUAUUGGAAAAUGGGCGAAAGCCUGAUCCAGCCAUGCCGCGUGUGUGAAGAAGGUCUUCGGAUUGUAAAGCACUUUAAGUGGGGAGGAAGGGCAGUAAGUUAAUACCUUGCUGUUUUGACGUUACCAACAGAAUAAGCACCGCCUAACUUCGU
rnacentral:rRNA from 1 species